GAUGAACGCUGGCGGCGUGCCUAAUACAUGCAAGUCGAGCGAACGGACGAGAAGCUUGCUUCUCUGAUGUUAGCGGCGGACGGGUGAGUAACACGUGGAUAACCUACCUAUAAGACUGGGAUAACUUCGGGAAACCGGAGCUAAUACCGGAUAAUAUUUUGAACCGCAUGGUUCAAAAGUGAAAGACGGUCUUGCUGUCACUUAUAGAUGGAUCCGCGCUGCAUUAGCUAGUUGGUAAGGUAACGGCUUACCAAGGCAACGAUGCAUAGCCGACCUGAGAGGGUGAUCGGCCACACUGGAACUGAGACACGGUCCAGACUCCUACGGGAGGCAGCAGUAGGGAAUCUUCCGCACUGGGCGAAAGCCUGACGGAGCCCCGCCGCGUGAGUGAUGAAGGUCUUCGGAUCGUAAAACUCUGUUAUUAGGGAAGAACAUAUGUGUAAGUAACUGUGCACAUCUUGACGGUACCUAAUCAGAAAGCCACGGCUAACUACGUG
rnacentral:rRNA from 1 species